UUAAGCAUAUUAAUAAGCGGAGGAAAAGAAACUAACAAGGAUUCCCCUAGUAACGGCGAGUGAAGCGGGAUGAGCUCAAGCUUAAAAUCUCCGUGCAAAUUUUGCGCGGCGAAUUGUAGUCUAUAGAGGCGUGGUCAGCAUCGGCACUUGGGGUAAGUUCCUUGGAAGAGGACAGCAUGGAGGGUGAUACUCCCGUUUAUCCCUGAGUUGCUUGUGCGUACGACCCGUUUUCUUUGAGUCGCGUUGUUUGAGAAUGCAGCGCAAAGUAGGUGGUAAAUUCCAUCUAAAGCUAAAUAUUGGUGCGAGACCGAUAGUAAACAAGUACCGUGAGGGAAAGAUGAAAAGAACUUUGAAAAGAGAGUUAAAGAGUACCUGAAACUGCUGAAAGGGAACCAAAUCGUUUCCAGUGUCUAUAAUCCGUGGUAUAUUUCAUUGGCGAGUGUGUGCGUGCGUGUGCUAUGGCAGCGGCUUUUUGCUGCGCUUGGUGUGUGUGCUGUGUGUGCUUGCUGGUGCCCUGUACCGCGGUGGGACGUCAAGGUCAGUUCGUAUGCUGCGGGAAAUGGCUACUGAGGAGGUAGGACAUACGUUUUCGUUUGUCUGUUACAUCUUAGUGGACGAGUUGUCGCGGUUGGGACUGAGGUGCCUACAAUGUGCUUAUGAGUGGGAUUGAAUCUCCGUGUGCGCCGUGUGCGGAUAGCUUGCUAUGCGUGUGUGGCUGUGUGUGGAUUGAAUCGAUGCUUAACUUGUUGCCGUUCGGGACGUUGACGAAAUGGAGCGAUUUGACCCGUCUUGAAACACGGACCAAGGAGUCUAACAUGUGUGCAAGUGUUAGGGUGUGGAAACCCCAGCGCGUAAUGAAAGUAAAGGAUAGCGUAAGCUGUCUGAGGUAGGAAAUGCUGCGGACUUCGGUCUGCG
rnacentral:rRNA from 1 species